AUUGAACGCUGGCGGCAUGCCUUACACAUGCAAGUCGAACGGCAGCACGGGGCAACCUGGUGGCGAGUGGCGAACGGGUGAGUAAUGUAUCGGAACGUACCAUUGAGUGGGGGAUAACGUAGCGAAAGUUACGCUAAUACCGCAUAUUCUCUCCGGAGGAAAGCAGGGGACCGCAAGGCCUUGCGCUCUUUGAGCGGCCGAUAUCAGAUUAGCUAGUUGGUGGGGUAAAAGCUCACCAAGGCGACGAUCUGUAGCGGGUCUGAGAGGAUGAUCCGCCACACUGGAACUGAGACACGGUCCAGACUCCUACGGGAGGCAGCAGUGGGGAAUUUUGGACAAUGGGGGCAACCCUGAUCCAGCCAUGCCGCGUGAGUGAAGAAGGCCUUCGGGUUGUAAAGCUCUUUCGGCCGGGAAAAAAUCGCAUGGGUUAAUACCCUGUGUGGAUGAUGGUACCGGAAUAAGAAGCACCGGCUAACUACGUGCCAGCCGCCGCGGUAA
rnacentral:rRNA from 1 species